GGAGUAGCCCAGUAACAGCGGGAAUAGCAGCAAAACUCAGGAGAUUACAACCAAGCAGAAAAACCAGGAUUUUUCAAACCAACCGAAAACCAAUAGUAAAACCAAGCAACACUACUUGAAUGCCAGUAGUAUUAGAAAACAAGUACAGACAAACAGAGAAAUAACCAGUUGCAACAAAUAGUCACUUCUGAUUUUUAUCACUCAAGAAAAGAAGCUUGAAGCUUCAAUGAACAAUAGCAAUUGAUGCUGAUCUUUAACAGUGAAGAAAAGAAACAGAUUUUUUUUCGGUUUCUAACUUUCGAACUCUCUCUAAUUCUUAAGAUUCAAAAUCUUUUUGUCUCCUCUCAAGAUAUGAAAAUUAUGUUUUCUCUCUCAAUUCUCAGUCCUCUAAGUGACAAAUGACUUCUAAUUUAUAACCAAAGCCAGACUCUUUCUCCCCUCCCCUUUAAUUAUUAUCCCUACCCAUUAUUACCCCAUUUU
rnacentral:lncRNA from 1 species